UUCCCUAGAUGUACACGUCAUGCUCACGCCAUGACACUUGCUAGGAAGAUGGCAUCCUGGAAAACAUGAACUUUUGCAUUUUAUUGCGGCUUUUUUAGAUCGAAAUUUAUGGAUUAAACAAUCAAGAGCAUCAUUUGUUGAAUGUUUAAAGUUGUUGAAAGCAAUUAAAGUUGUAGAAAAGGUGUUGAAAACAUUUUUGAAGGCAAUGACGUACUACCAAAUGACGAAUUAUCACGCGAGCGACACUUGCUAGGAAGAUGGCGACCGUGGGACAACUUUUUUACUGAAGUUACACAUCUGUUCUUACUUAAUCUAUGACCUUG
rnacentral:lncRNA from 1 species